GACGAACCGUCCAAACGUUAUUCGGAAUCACUGGGCUUAAAGGGUGCGUAGGCGGCGCGGAAAGUUGGGUGUGAAAGCCCUCGGCUCAACCGAGGAAUUGCGCCCAAAACUACUGCACUAGAGGAAGACAGAGGUACGCGGAACUUAGGGUGGAGCGGUGAAAUGCGUUGAUAUCCUAAGGAACACCGGUGGCGAAAGCGGCGUACUGGGUCUUAUCUGACGCUGAGGCACGAAAGCUAGGGGAGCGAACGGG
rnacentral:rRNA from 1 species